rnacentral:rRNA from 1 species
GACGAACGCUGGCGGCGUGCUUAACACAUGCAAGUCGAACGAAGUGGCGAACGGGUGAGUAACGCGUAAACAACCGGCCCUUCCGAGGGGGACAACAGUUGGAAACGACUGCUAAAACCGCAUAAUGACGGAGUGGAUUGCGAUGGAUUAGCUAGUUGGAGGGGUAACGCCCCACCAAGGCGAGGAUAGGUAGCAGGUCUGGGAGGAUGAACGGCCAAGUUGGGACUGAGACACGGCCCAGACUCCUACGGGAGGCAGCAGUGGGGAAUCUUCCGCAAUGGACGAAAGUCUGACGGAGCAACGCCGCGUGAGUGAUGACGGCCUUCGGGUUGUAAAGCUCUGUUAAUCGGGACGCGGUACCGGAAUAGAAAGCCACGGCUAACUACGUGCCAGCAGCCGCGGUAAUUC